GUGCCCUUUUAAGGUUGAUGCAGUGCUUUAAAAGACUUAACACAGAAGUAAGUCUCCAUAAAAUUCAGGGAACAGAUUGUAAAACCCUUUAUUGGAUCCUGUCUGCAGAUACAGUA
ensembl:snoRNA